rnacentral:rRNA from 1 species
AGAACGAACGCUGGCGGCAUGCCUAAUACAUGCAAGUCGAACGAACUCUUCGGAGUUAGUGGCGCACGGGUGCGUAACGCGUGGGAAUCUGCCCCUUGGUUCGGAAUAACAGUUGGAAACGACUGCUAAUACCGGAUGAUGACGAAAGUCCAAAGAUUUAUCGCCAAGGGAUGAGCCCGCGUAGGAUUAGCUAGUUGGUGAGGUAAAGGCUCACCAAGGCAACGAUCCUUAGCUGGUCUGAGAGGAUGAUCAGCCACACUGGGACUGAGACACGGCCCAGACUCCGUACGGGAGGCAGCAGGUAGGGAAUAGUGGACAAGUGGGACGAAAGCCUAGAUCCAGACAAUGCCGCGUGAGUGAGUGAAGGUCGUUAGGGUUAGUAAAGUCUUACUUUACCGAG